GAUGAAGAACGUAGCGAAAUGCGAUAAGUAAUGUGAAUUGCAGAAUUCAGUGAAUCAUCGAAUCUUUGAACGCACAUUGCGCCCGCCAGUAUUCUGGCGGGCAUGCCUGUCUGAGCGUCAUUUCAACCCUCAUGCCCCUAGGGCGUGGUGUUGGGGUUCGGCCAAAGCCCGCGAGGGACGGCCGGCCCCUAAAUCUAGUGGCGGACCCGUCGUGGCCUCCUCUGCGAAGUAGUGAUAUUCCGCAUCGGAGAGCGAUGAGCCCCUGCCGUUAAACCCCCAACUUUCCAAGGUUGACCUCAGAUCAGGUAGGAAUACCCGCUGAACUUAAGCAUAUCAUAAGCGGAGGA
rnacentral:misc_RNA from 1 species